GUGGGGAAUAUUGCGCAAUGGGGGAAACCCUGACGCAGCAACGCCGCGUGAGCGAAGAAGGCCUUCGGGUCGUAAAGCUCUGUCUUAAGGGAAGAAGAAGUGACAGUACCUUAAGAGGAAGCCCCGGCUAACUACGUGCCAGCAGCCGCGGUAACACGUAGGGGGCAAGCGUUGUCCGGAAUUACUGGGCGUAAAGGGUGCGUAGGCGGCCAAAUAAGUCAGAUGUGAAAGUCCAGGGCUUAACCGUGGAAUCGCAUUUGAAACUGUAUGGCUUGAGUGCAGGAGAGGAGAGCGGAAUUCCUAGUGUAGUGGUGAAAUGCGUAGAUAUUAGGAAGAACACCAGUGGCGAAGGCGGCUCUCUGGACUGUAACUGACGCUGAGGCACGAAAGCGUGGGGAGCGAACAGGAUUAGAAACCCUUGUAGUCC
rnacentral:rRNA from 1 species